UGAUUCCCGAUCCGAUUCACCGAUUUUGAAACCCUGGAGGCCACUGUUUGUGAAGAAGCAGAGCAGAACUCAAUUAUGAUGCAGUUAACUAUUUUACAGAUCAAAUAGUCAAAUACUGUCUAUUUCGACGUUCUGCAUAGGAGGAGCUUCCUCAUUUUCUGGGUGAUCGCGGAAAAUUGUAAGAAGCUACAAUGGCAAUUUCCCAAUUUGCUGAAGUGAGUUAACGAUGACAAUACCAAUAAUUCCUUCCUCUCCCUCUCUCUGAGCACUGUGACCUUCACACAUUGGAGCAGCUUUGCCGUACAAUAAGGACCAAUUGCCGAAUGACGUGGUACUAGAGGAUAGACUAUUUUAACAAGCUCUAGAAGUUGGAAUUAGCAUUCUGGUACUUUAUAUUCAUCUAGCUAACUUUAAUGUGCAUACAUUUGAUGUUUAGCUGGGAAAAGCCUAAUCUGCUGAAACAUUUUUGUUUGGUGUGUAUCUCUCUAAUAAGAUCCAAUGUCAAAGAUAUAAGCAAAAUUAUAUUUUGACUACCAAGUUGGACUUCAAUAAUGACAUUAGGUGUAUUGAUUUCCUUGGUUCUGAAUGCACAAGGCAAACAGAUUCAGGGAUUCAUGAAGCUGAAUAUAAGCUCUAGUGGCUGGGCCUGGUUCUAUUUAGGGUCAGCAGAAUCAGAAUGUAUGUGGAAAACAGUGGAAGCUGGCUGAUGAUGAUGAUUUAAAAGCAGCCAAUGGAGAGAGUAACUGGGGGACUGAUCAUGGUCUUGGCGUGAAAUCAAUAAACAUUGCUCCUUCAGAAUUGUCCAACUCUCUCAGAAUUGUCCAACUCUCACUUACAAAAUACGGUACUUCUUGGAGCUGCAAAACAACCCUAAAGUACAUUGCCAAGAAAAAAAAAGCAUUUCCGUCUGCGUCGUCACUCAUUUCCUGAAAAAUGAAAGGACAGAGACAUGGUAUACUAGGUUAUCAUAACAGUGACGAAGACAUCAACAAUGGAGUCAAGGUUUCUGGUCAUUAAAUUUAUGGGGUUAGUGCAUGCACAUAGAGUAAGUAAGGAAGAAUUUGUAUUAAGGUAUAGCUUCCAAUUGCAUAUAAUAGUGGUUUAAACUCUUAUACCCAUAUUUACUAGUUACUAAGCUCAACUUGUUGAAACAAACUCCAACACUGAAAGUGCCCUAUAUGGUUCAGAGGGAAAUCAUGAGUCUGUCUUGCUGCACAUUAUGCCCCUGAAAAAAAAUGGAAGGAAUUUUUUUUCUUCUCUUUCCUAUUCCUAGACUUUUUCUCCCAUCAGAAGUGCUUUUAUGUUUACAUGUGAUUGUAUGACAUGCUGGCUGCAUUGUCUACCAUGAUUAAUUAGGGGCGAGGAUUUUUUUCUUCUCUUCUUUAUUGUCAAUAAUUAUUGCUAGUCUUGCUUGUUCUUUAUAGCACUGCUAAGAUCAGUAUCAGGCUGUUCAUGAUCAAACUCCUGAAGGAAAGCAACACAAUGACCUUCAUGGUCAUCUUUAUCCUGAAUGAAUAGAGUUAGACAUGUAUUUGCAUUGUAGUGCAGCAAGCCAUGUUGACUAGAAAAUCCAUAUUAUUGAGCAUUUUGUUGGUGUUGUGUAUAUGUACUUGAAAAUUCAGUAUUAGGUUUCUGUUUAUAUUUUAUGAUUCAAUUGUAAAAAAUUGUGCCUGUGUAGGUUUGGCCAGCUUUUGUAGUAAGUUUGAUGAAUUUUGCUUGUGUUACAGCUCAUUUCAAUCUGGUGAAGAAAUUUAUAUCCUCAUAUUGUCACGGAAAAUAUGUUAUGAUUUUGCUUUGGUGAACCAGUGGUGAUGGUGUUCCAAAAGUUUGGAUAGUCCAUCAUAUCACACCAAAUAGCAUGAGGAUUGCAAUAUUUUCAUGGGCUUCGGUGUCAGAUGAUUUGGUGUCACAUCUGUCUAAAACCUAGGUUUAAAUUAUAUGACUGCUGUUGUGGAACUGCCAAAUAUGUUUUCCAACUUCUUGAUAUUUAAUAAAAUUUUGUAUCUAAUAAAGAAAACAUUUAGGAACAAAAUAAUGCAUUUAUGAACUUUCAACUCAA